rfam:Necator americanus N_americanus-1.0_Cont122.95, whole genome shotgun sequence.
GUGUCCACUCCCGUACAUAUACCCAAAAUGAAACAGUACAAAGAAGAUUAUCAUGGGACCUGCGCAAGGAUGACACGAAAAUUUGUGAAGCAUCCUAAGUUUUU